rnacentral:lncRNA from 1 species
GGCGGGGGGCCCGGCCGGAGCAAGAGGGAGGCUCAGCGCCGGCUCCACCAACCAGGGCCCGCUCGCCCGUCCGCUUCACCAGGAUUGGCGAGCGUCUCAGCCAAUGGAGAAGCGACAAGAGCGGCGGAGCGUCGGCGCCGAGGGGCGGGGGAUUGCGGAGGAGGUGGCUCCCACCCUUGGUCCUCCGCCGCCGGGUCGCGAUGAGGCUUUGACCCGGCUCCCUUUCAGAGCGAAGGGAUUCUUCCCUUUUUCUUCACCCUAUCUCCAAACACCGUCUACCCCAGAUGUGAGAAAAUCUACAGUAACUAUUAGAUACAGGAUAUCCCUGAAACUCCCAAGCUAAGCCCAGUGACAAUGGAAACAUAGCCAGGUGGUACUUGAUGACUCCGGCGUAAACUUCAGAAGGGAGGAGGAAAGGAAAGGAAGAGAAGAAAAGAAAGGAAAGCCAAGUCUGUUCUCCUAGACGUGUGAUAGCUAUCCACACCUGUUCCAGCUGUAACAGCAACUAAAAGUAACCCCGCCUUAUAUGAACUGCUGCUACACUGAGUUUGGCAUCCACUAUUAGCCCUUAAUCAUACUGUCCUGAGGUGUUUGGGAUUGUAUCAUGUAGGCCAGUCUUAGCUCUCUAAUUAGAUGGUAAGUUCCAUGAGGUAAGG